rnacentral:rRNA from 1 species
UACGAAGGGGGCGAGCGUUGUUCGGAUUUACUGGGCGUAAAGAGCGCGCAGGCGGUCGUUCAAGUCGCGUGUGAAAGCCCCCGGCUCAACUGGGAGGGUCACGCGAUACUGAUCGACUCGAAGGCAGGAGAGGGUAGUGGAAUUCCCGGUGUAGUGGUGAAAUGCGUAGAGAUCCGGAAGAACACCGGUGGCGAAGGCGGCCUGCUGGGCAGUGGCUGACAGCUGAGGCGCGACAGCGUGGGGAGCAAACAGG